AAUCAGGUAGAAAUCGCAACAGGAAAACCGAUACCUGGCUAGUCACCGCACAAACCUUAAAACCGGGAGUAAACUUAGAUCUUGCCCUAACCCCAUCGCAUUGGUCUCAAACAUCUCAAAGACAUGAUAUCUAAACGAUACGAGAUUCCUAGAACAUGUCUCUUCGUUCAUAUCUCAACGUUCCCGAAAAAUCGUAAAUAAUUUUUACGAAAACUCGCGUCUCGAACGAACUAACAGAUUGAACGCCUCAACGAAGAUAAAUAUGAGAUGACAACUCAUAUUCACUUCAAAACAACUCUAAAAUAAGUAACCCAAACAGACAUCCAUUAUAUAAACCGCAUAGCGGUAGGGGUUCAAAGCCACCAACGGCCAAUCCUGACAAAAAUGGCCAAAAUAGGCCCGUACAAAGUUCGAAAGCCAUACUCGGCCAGACAUACAUGGACAAAGGCCACAC
rnacentral:lncRNA from 1 species